GAGUCCUUGUUGAUGAUCGGUGCUUGCACCAAGAUUCAACAUGCCACUGAGUGGCGGACGGGUGAGUAACACGUGGGUAACCUGCCCUUAAGUGGGGGAUAACAUUUGGAAACAGAUGCUAAUACCGCAUAGAUCCAAGAACCGCAUGGUUCUUGGCUGAAAGAUGGCGUAAGCUAUCGCUUUUGGAUGGACCCGCGGCGUAUUAGCUAGUUGGUGAGGUAAUGGCUCACCAAGGCGAUGAUACGUAGCCGAACUGAGAGGUUGAUCGGCCACAUUGGGACUGAGACACGGCCCAAACUCCUACGGGAGGCAGCAGUAGGGAAUCUUCCACAAUGGACGCAAGUCUGAUGGAGCAACGCCGCGUGAGUGAAGAAGGCUUUCGGGUCGUAAAACUCUGUUGUUGGAGAAGAAUGGUCGGCAGAGUAACUGUUGUCGGCGUGACGGUAUCCAACCAGAAAGCCACGGCUAACUACGUGCCAGCAGCCGCGGUAAUACGUAGGUGGCAAGCGUUAUCCGGAUUUAUUGGGCGUAAAGCGAGCGCAGGCGGUUUUUUAAGUCUGAUGUGAAAGCCCUCGGCUUAACCGAGGAAGCGCAUCGGAAACUGGGAAACUUGAGUGCAGAAGAGGACAGUGGAACUCCAUGUGUAGCGGUGAAAUGCGUAGAUAUAUGGAAGAACACCAGUGGCGAAGGCGGCUGUCUGGUCUGUAACUGACGCUGAGGCUCGAAAGCAUGGGUAGCGAACAGGAUUAGAUACCCUGGUAGUCCAUGCCGUAAACGAUGAAUGCUAGGUGUUGGAGGGUUUCCGCCCUUCAGUGCCGCAGCUAACGCAUUAAGCAUUCCGCCUGGGGAGUACGACCGCA
rnacentral:rRNA from 1 species